UCCCAUAUUGUCUAGUGGUUAGGAUACCUGGCUCUCACCCAGGAGGCCCGGGUUCAAUUCCCGGUAGGGGAA
rnacentral:tRNA from 1 species